CAAUAGCGUAUAUUAAAGUUGUUGCAGUUAAAAAGCUCGUAGUUGGAUUUCUGGUGGGAGCGAUCGGUCUGGCGCUUAGCGCGAGUACUUGCAUCGUCUCCGGCCAUCCUUGGGGAGAGUCUGUCUGGCAUUAGGUUGUCGGGCAGAGGAUCCUCAUCGUUUACUGUGAAAAAAUUAGAGUGUUCAAAGCAGGCUUAUGCCGUUGAAUAUAUUAGCAUGGAAUAAUAAGAUAGGACUUUGGUACUAUUUUGUUGGUUUGCGCACCAAAGUAAUGAUCAAUAGGGACAGUUGGGGGUAUUCGUAUUCCGUUGUCAGAGGUGAAAUUCUUGGAUUUACGGAAGACGAACUACUGCGAAAGCAUUUACCAAGGAUGUUUUCAUUAA
rnacentral:rRNA from 1 species